ensembl:lincRNA
CUGCGAUUGUUAGCCGGCGGGCGCACAGUGGGCGGGGCUGGGGGCCAGCAUGGAAAUGAGGCUGCAGCCCCUCUCCCGGCUCCCGCCCCUUCUCCCUCCUCCCCGGCUCCAGCUGGUCCAGCUCCACAAGGAGGGACCAGUGGAGGAGCGCCCAGCAGGCCCAGAGGUGCACCUCUCCAGCUGGGUCAUCGGGCUCUGCAUGCUGAGGGUGGUGGUCAGGAAGCCAGGCUGGGUGGAGAGCCUCGGAGCCUGCCCCCAGACGGCCAGCGAUCAAAGAGAAGAGUGGAUCCAGGAAAAAUCGAGCCGCCAAGUGGUUGAUUGGCUUUGCCUCCACCAGCCUGAUGAAUAUUCAUGAGGUAUGGGUGAGUCUGUGUGCAGGCCGAGAGGCACCCCCUUUGGGGGCAGUUGUCCCACGUGCCCCUGGGAGAGACGCAGGACACCAGGACACCGGCCUCUUCCUUCCUUCUGCUUCUCCAGGGAGAGGUACCUCCUCCUCCAGUCACCCCGCCCCACCCCACACAGAGAGGAGGUGGUUCCACACCUGUAGCCAAAGCUCUGCCAGGAGAGCAUCUCCUCUUGGCUCUGGGAAGGGGUGGCCUCCCGCAGCCACACCCUGCACCCUCUGGCAUCUGGCCCUCUGGCGGGGGCCCGGGGUCUGCCCACCAGCCCUAGGGAUGAGUCCAGCAGCUCCUCCGCCCAGCACUGCUCUUGCCCAUUUGGGGGAGCAGUAUCCCUGCAGAGAUUAACGUCUUGGUAAGCUGCUCCCCGCCACCUGGAAUGUCUCUGGUAAGGACAGAAGUCAGUAGAGUAGUGUGGACGUCUGCUCACCCUAGCCCUUGUACAACAAGGACCAUAGCCAGGGUGUCUCCAGGCCUGUGCUCAGCCUGGGGGAAAGUUGUCCAGCAGCCAGCAUGUGGCCUUGGCUGGCUAGUUUCUAACCAGUGGUCAGAGCCCAGGCCCCCCUGCACAGCCAUGAGUGACUCUCAUACUGAGUGGUCAAGAGUCCUUCCAGAGCCCCCAAGGGGCCAGAAGCUCCGAAUGCCCCAAGGAGGACCAGGAAAGAGCUGCCCGGAGGCUGGAGCUCAUUGUUCUGGGCUCCAAGGGGGCCCGUGCUGCCCGCCAUGAGCAGUCUGGUGCCAGGACGCUCCUGCCAGCAGCUGGCAGCCAGCAGAUGAGGGGAGUGGAUGGCCAGCAGCUCUGGCCAUCCCCGGGGAGCUAGUCUUCACUUAAUACCGCCCGCUCCCCCGGGGCCGCACCAGCCUGACUGCCACCACCAGCAGUGCAGUGAGAGAACUGAAUCUGAGGCUUAUCUUUGGAAGUUAAUCCAGCUCAGGGUGGGAUUAACUAGGACAUCCCUUUAGAUAGUGGAACCCAAGGUCAGGGAGAUGGGGGCUGGGAGCAGCCAGCUGGGAGCUGCUGAGCCCUGAUUUUCCUCUAAGUAUAGCUGCUGGUCACCACGGGGAACCGGGUAGGGGCUGAGAGCUGGGGGUGGGAAGGGAGGUAUUGAUGAGGGGGCACGGUUUGGCCCAGAAGUUCUGGGGGGAGCGUAGAGGCUUAAG